UCUCCCUGGCAGGCUAAUAACUAUAACUUUCUAGGUCUCGAAAGGCAUUGUUUAGAACUGUGCUACUAAACAAUGACAUACUUAACAAAGCCCUAAGCUCUGAGGUAAGCCUCUGGAUAUAAAAUACAUAAGAUGAUGAAAUUCCUGAGCAAAGGAGUCUGUGCCAGAUACUCCGGAGGAUCCUUUACUCUGACUCAUGAAGGAGAGACACAAAUAUGCCUGGCUUACUCCCCACUCCCUGGCUGUGGCUGGUGUUGGUCAAGAC